CAAUAGCGUAUAUUAAAGUUGUUGCGGUUAAAAAGCUCGUAGUUGGAUCUCGGCAGGCAGGGGGUGGUUCGCUCUUGGCGCUACUGCCCCAUUUGCCUGUGUGAUUGGCGGAGGUUUCGGGGUGCUCUUCGUUGAGUGACCCGGGGCGCCGUCAGGUUUACUUUGAAAAAAUUAGAGUGCUCAAAGCAGGCUUUUCACGCUUGAAUAUUCGUGCAUGGAAUAAUGGAAUAGGAACUCGUUUCUAUUUUGUUGGUUUUCGGAAAUCGAGUUAAUGAUUAAUAGGGACAAUUGGGGGCAUUAGUAUUCAGACGACAGAGGUGAAAUUCUUGGACCGUCUGAAGACUAACUACUGCGAAAGCAUUUGCCAAGAGUGUUUUCAUUAA
rnacentral:rRNA from 1 species